rnacentral:rRNA from 1 species
GAGUUUGAUCCUGGCUCAGGACGAACGCUGGCGGCAUGCCUAAUACAUGCAAGUCGAACGAGGUUUCCUUAAUGAUAGUUGGUGCUUGCAUCAAUUUGACUUAAGAUCUAACCGAGUGGCGAACUGGUGAGUAACACGUGGGGAACCUGCCCUUAAGUAGGGGAUAACAUUUGGAAACAAAUGCUAAUACCGUAUAACAACAUAAACCACAUGGUUUAUGUUUGAAAGAUGGCUCUGCUAUCGCUUUUGGAUGGACCCGCGGCGUAUUAGCUAGUUGGUGAGAUAAUGGCUCACCAAGGCAACGAUCAGUAGCCGGCCUGAGAGGGUGGACGGCCACAUUGGGACUGAGACACGGCCCAGACUCCUACGGGAGGCAGCAGUGGGGAAUAUUGCACAAUGGAGGGAACUCUGAUGCAGCGACGCCGCGUGAGUGAAGAAGUAAUUCGUUAUGUAAAGCUCUAUCAGCAGGGAAGAAAGUGAC